rnacentral:rRNA from 1 species
GAUGAACGCUGGCGGCGUGCUUAACACAUGCAAGUCGAACGAAGCAAUUUAUUUGAUUUCCUUCGGGACUGAGUAUGUGGGGAAUGAGUGGCGGACGGGUGAGUAAGGCGGGGGGAAAAGGCGUGGGACAGGGGGAGAACAGGUGGAAACGGCGGCUAAUACCGCAUAAGCGCAAGGCAUGGCAUGAUGCAGUGUGAAAAACGCCGGUGGGCGAAGGUGGACCCGCGUUGGAUUAGCUCGUUGGUGACGUCACGGCCCACCAAGGCGACGAUCCAUAGCCGCACUGACAGGGUCACCGGCACCCUUGGUACUUCCCCCCCGCACAAACUCCUACGGGAGGCAGCAGUCGGGAAUAUUCCACAAUGGGCGAAAGCCUGAUGCCUCUACGCCGCGUGAGCGAAGAAGUAUUUCGGUAUGUACCGCUCUAUCAGCAGGGAAGAUAAUGCCGGUACCUGACUAAGAAGCACCGGCUAAAUACGUG